rnacentral:rRNA from 1 species
UACCAGUGGCGAAGGCGGCCUUCUGGACUGACACUGACGCUGAGGUGCGAAAGCGUGGGUAGCAAACAGGAUUAGAUACCCUGGUAGUCCACGCCGUAAACGAUGUCGACUAGCCGUUGGGCUCCUUGAGAGCUUUGUGGCGCAGUUAACGCGAUAAGUCGACCGCCUGGGGAGUACGGCCGCAAGGUUAAAACUCAAAUGAAUUGACGGGGGCCCGCACAAGCGGUGGAGCAUGUGGUUUAAUUCGAUGCAACGCGAAGAACCUUACCUACCCUUGACAUCGAGAGAACUUUCCAGAGAUGGAUUGGUGCCUUCGGGAACUCUCAGACAGGUGCUGCAUGGCUGUCGUCAGCUCGUGUUGUGAAAUGUUGGGUUAAGUCCCGUAACGAGCGCAACCCUUGUCCCUAUUUGCCAGCGAUUCGGUCGGGAACUCUAGGGAGACUGCCGGUGACAAACCGGAGGAAGGUGGGGACGACGUCAAGUCAUCAUGGCCCUUACGGGUAGGGCUACACACGUGCUACAAUGGCCGGUACAAUGGGUUGCGAAUCCGCGAGGUGGAGCUAAUCCCAUAAAGCCGGUCUCAGUCCGGAUCGGAGUCUGCAACUCGACUCCGUGAAGUCGGAAUCGCUAGUAAUCGUGAAUCAGAAUGUCACGGUGAAUACGUUCCCGGGCCUUGUACACACCGCCCGUCACACCAUGGGAGUGGACUGCACCAGAAGUGGUUAGCCUAACUUCGGAGGGCGAUCACCACGGUGUGGUUCAU